AGACAAUGCAGGUUUGUUUUUAAUCGGUCAUGUGGUGCCAUCUGCUGGCCAGUAAUUGACAUGUCUAGUAUCAUUUCAAUGAGUUUUAAGAAAUUAGCUAUGUAGCCUGGAAUCUGCAUUGAGCCAUAUUCCGUGUAGGCUAACAGCUAUGUGCCUAUAGAAUAGUCCGUAGGUCUAUAGUUUAGGUGCUGAUUACUUCAUAAACCUAGCCUGGAAUCCAUGUGCUUCAUCAACACAUUGCCACUUCAUCAACAUAACAACCGGCGCUAUUGGACCGAGCUAGCUAGUCUCUAAUUCUGACCUCCAUAAUGGCUUGAACCACGUGUUAUACUGUUAACACCUAGGGACAUGUCUAUUGGGGUGGGGGUCUACAGAAUGUUGGCAUGGGUGGGCAUUCAACAACACUGGGGAGGGUAGGUAAUUGCUCGGGUGUUACCACCGUGUGUGUGUGUGUGUGUGGCAACACUGUAAGGAGACUAAUAAUGACAGCCAGGAGAUGACACUCGGCAGCAGCUGUUGUGCACACUAAUGGAAACUUUGCUUGGGGUACAUUUUAAGAUGCUCUAAAACGCUCUGGUGACAAACAAACGUUUCUUCCCUGUUUCCAAUCGUCCACAAGGCUGGGAUAACCUAUUCAAGUAAGUUAAGUAAACAACGUUAUAUUUCGAAUGUAAAAUCAAAUCAUGUAUUAUUAGCUAACUAGCUACAGUGCAGGCUAGUUCAAAUGAGCUACUAAUGUAGCUAGCUAACGUUAGCUAUCUAGCCAACUUUACAUACGUAUAGAUAGCUAAGUGAAUUAAAUAUCACCCGCUACUUAACUUCGUAUUAGUUAGCUAUGUUGAUGUAUUUAUCACUGUAAAAAAAACAACACUCCAAAUGCAUUUGUAGGUAGGUAGGUAGCUAGCUAACAGCCAUGGAGAAGGGUGAAAGGAUAGCAGCUCCAACUGUCAAAGUGAGAGAGUAGGCUAUUCUGGAUAGGGUAUGGACUUUUGUAGUUCCAUUCCCAUUAAGUGAGGACAGUGAUAAUAGUAACAUAAUAUUCAGUGCAGUCUAAUUUUAAUAUAAUGAAGUCUGUUUUUUGUGAGGUUUUCUGUCCUCAGAUACAGAAGCCGAUGAAUAAUGAUGAAGAGGUCCCAAUGAAGAGCAGUGGUUCUCAGUCCUGGUCCUGGGAACUCAAAGGGCUGCACAUUUCUGUUUCAGCCUUAGCACGACACAGCUGAUUCAAAUGAUCAACUCAUCAAUCUUCAUUUGUGAUGCUAUCCAUGAUAUGAUCCUGCUAUUGUCACAUGCUACACAUGCAUCUAUCUAUCCAAUGUUAUCAUGAUUUGUUAUGAGGGAUAUUAUACUUUGGUAAUCCACAAUGACCUGGUGAUGUGAAAGUCUAAAUGACAUUAUCUUCCAUAUUCCUACAGAUACCUUGUAACAGGACAUUAUUUCAAAACGAUUGCCUACAGUUACCGUGUAGGGCACUACAAGGUUGGGUGACCAGGGCCAUCUGGGACUGCUUCCUGGGGGAAUUCGGGUGUGUGAAGGCUACCUGUGUCUUGCAUAAUAUAAUGGACACGAGGACCAGGAGGGGAUCUGCAACUCGCCACCAUGUGCCAUAGGACAAGUCUGCUGCUCUUCAGGAUGUUUCAAGGAUGGGGUCCAACAAUGCAGCAAGAGGCGCGAGAUCUUCACCUCCUACUUCAGCGUGUGCUGUUCCCUGGCAACACCAUAGACUACACUAUGAACAACCAAAGGCUCUUUUAAGAGCCAUCCACAUUGCAAUAAGAGUAUUCUUCCAUUUGCUUAGCUAUGUCAACUGCAGAUGUUCAAUUCCCAGUUGCUCUCCCUUUUAAUUUCUAUUUCUCAGGUGAGGGUGCUGUUUAGGUAAGGGUGUGGUGUCUGUACAAAAACAAAACAGGCUAUUUUAAGUCUCCCAUAUUGAAAAGAUGUAGAACAACUAGACACCCUAUAACCCACACCUACACACUUAUGUAUCAAUCUGUUUCAUGGGUUGUGCAGUAAGCAGACUCAGGUGUAUAACUGUGGCUCCUUCCACAUUCAAAGAAUAGGCAAGAGGGCCAACCACAGAGAAUAGUAACUUGGCUGGGUCUUUCUGUAACUGCGCUAUAUUGUUUGUCCUCGUAAGUCUGUGCACGUUUUUCCAGCAUACAUUACUCUGCAGCCACUUAGUGUGGACACCAGGUGUGGCCACACACACAGAUUCCUGUUGAACACUUGUCUCUUUAACUACCUUAUUUUCUCUAACGGUCUCUGAGAGAUUAUUAGGGUAGCACUGUAAUUCAUUAAUCAUAUAAUGUCUUCCCUGCUCCUCUGUUCUUUCCCUUUGUCUUUUACAGCUCUCUUGCCACCUCUUUCCUCCUGUUUUUAUAAUGCACAACAGAUGUGCAUUGAAGUACAGAUUGAACUUGUAUUUAUAAUAUUACAAUUAUAUUUAUAAUGCAUAUAUUAUGUAAUUAUAACAUUUGGAUAAUUAACUUAUUUCAAUAAAGCAUUUCACAUUCUCUA